CUUUGAAAAGAGUAGGAGUUCUUCUUUUGACAAGUUUGGCUAUACUGAGAGACUGACACAGACGUUCAUGGUGAAUCUAGCAUACCCCCCUUUUUAUGGUGUGAGGUAUUACACUGGCAACAAAUAAGGUCCCAAGUCAAGGUUCCAUGCAAGCAUGAUUUGCAAUUAGCUUUCAUUAAGAAUGCAAACUACCGUGAUGUUAUUUACUGAAAAUUACCUGUUCACUAUUUUAAUAUUUUGAGUAACAGUGACCUUGACUUUGAUCUGACCAGCCCCAAAUACAAUUCCAAGCUAUGGUUUUAUGUAAGCUCCCUGGACGCAAAAUGCAAAUGAAUAACACCAUUCAAACUCAAGUUGUUGAGCAGAAACUAUUUUAUUUGUAUUUUUAGCUUCAGUAACAAUCAUCUUUACCGAA